AACGAACGCUGGCGGCAGGCCUAACACAUGCAAGUCGAGCGAGGACUUCGGUUCUAGCGGCGGACGGGUGAGUAACGCGUGGGAAUGUGCCCUUCUCUACGGAAUAGCCCUGGGAAACUGGGAGUAAUACCGUAUAGGCACUAGUGGGUAAAGAUUUAUCGGAGAAGGAUCAGCCGGCGUUGGAGUAGGUAGUUUGUGGGGUGAUGGCCUACCAAGCCGAGGAUCCAUAGCUGGUUUGAGAGGAUGAUCAGCCACACUGGGACUGAGACACGGCAGAGGCUCCUACGGGAGGCAGAAGUGGGGAAUCUUAGACAAUCGGGGCAACCCUGAUCUAGCCAUGCCGCGUGAGUGAUGAAGGCCUUAGGGUUGUAAAGCUCUUUCAGCUGGGAAGAUAAUGACGGUACCAGCAGAAGAAGCCCCGGCUAACUCCGUG
rnacentral:rRNA from 1 species